rnacentral:rRNA from 1 species
GACGAACGCUGGCGGCGUGCCUAACACAUGCAAGUCGAGCGGGGAGGGCCUUCGGGCCCUUCCAGCGGCGGACGGGUGAGUAACGCGUGAGCAACCUUUCCUUCACAGGGGUAUAACGCAGCGAAAGCUGUGCUAAUACCGCAUGAGACCACAAGAUCGCAUGGUCAAGGGGUCAAAGGAGCAAUUCGGUGAAGGGUGGGCUCGCGUCUGAUUAGCUAGUUGGCGGGUAACGGCCCACCAAGGUGACGAUCAGUAGCCGACCUGAGAGGGUGAUCGGCCACACUGGGACUGAGACACGGCCCAGACUCCUACGGGAGGCAGCAGUGGGGAAUAUUGGGCAAUGGGCGAAAGCCUGACCCAGCAACGCCGCGUGAGGGAAGAAGGUUUUCGGAUCGUAAACCUCUGUCCUUAGUGAAGAGUAAGAGACGGUAGCUAAGGAGGAAGCCCCGGCUAACUACGUG